rnacentral:snRNA from 1 species
AUCGCUUCUCGCCUUUUGGCUAAGAUCAAGUGUAGUAUCUGUUCUUAUCAGUUUAAUACUGAUACGUCCCCCAUCGGGGGACUAUACCAUAUUAAAUGGAUUUUUCGAACAGGGAGUCGGAAGCGGUGCUUGCUCCGUCCGCUCCACGCAUCGACUCGGUAUUGCAGUACCUCCGAGAACGGUGCACCCUCG